UACAGAGGGUGCAAACGUUGCUCGGAAUCAUUGGGCGUAAAGCGCACGUAGGCGGCCUAGCAAGUAGGGAGUGAAAGCCCUCGGCUUAACCGAGGAAGUGCUUUCUAAACUACUAGGCUUGAAUACUGGAGAGGGUCGCGGAAUUCCCGGUGUAGAGGUGAAAUUCGUAGAUAUCGGGAGGAACACCAGUGGCGAAGGCGGCGACCUGGACAGAUAUUGACGCUGAGGCGCGAAAGCUAGGGGAGCAAACGGG
rnacentral:rRNA from 1 species